UACGUAGGGGGCUAGCGUUGUCCGGAAUCAUUGGGCGUAAAGAGCGUGUAGGCGGCCCGGUAAGUCCGCUGUGAAAGUCGGGGGCUCAACCCUCGAAUGCCGGUGGAUACUGUCGGGCUUGAGUACGGAAGAGGCGAGUGGAAUUCCUGGUGUAGCGGUGAAAUGCGCAGAUAUCAGGAGGAACACCAAUUGCGAAGGCAGCUCGCUGGGACGUUACUGACGCUGAGACGCGAAAGCGUGGGGAGCAAACAGG
rnacentral:rRNA from 1 species